AUUGAAAAUGCUGAUUAAACAUCCACAAUGCCAAAACUUGGUUACUUCCACUUUGUUGGCUAUUGUUGCUUUUGCAAUGUAAAUUGGCAGAAAGAAAGUGUUAUUGUGAAAAGAAAAAGCGAGUUAUAUAUGGCAGCAGGGAAGGGACUGAAGAAUAAACAUGGCUGAAUAACAA